rnacentral:rRNA from 1 species
CGGGACACGUGAAAUCUUGUUUGAAGAUCGGAGGACCACCUUCGAAGGCUAAGUACUACUUAUUGACCGAUAGCGAACCAGUACCGUGAGGGAAAGGUGAAAAGUACCCCGACAAGGGGAGUGAAACAGUUUCUGAAACCGGGCGCCUACAAACAGUCGGAGCCUCCUUGAGAGGUGACGGCGUACCUUUUGUAUAAUGGGUCAACGACUUGGUCUGGCUAGCAAGCUUAAGCCGUUAGGUGUAGGCGUAGCGAAAGCGAGUCUUAAUAGGGCGAUUAAGUUAGUCGGAUCAGACCCGAAACCGAGUGAUCUAGGCAUGUCCAGGAUGAAGGUGAGGUAACACUCACUGGAGGUCCGAACCCACAUCUGUUGAAAAAGAUCGGGAUGAGGUGUGCCUAGGGGUGAAAGGCCAAUCAAACUCGGAGAUAGCUGGUUCUCCGCGAAAUCUAUUUAGGUAGAGCGUUAGACGAAUACCCCCGGGGGUAGAGCACUGGAUGGGUAAUGGGGCCCCACAGGCUUACUGAUCCUAACCAAACUCCGAAUACCGGGGAGUAAUAUCUAGCAGACACACAGCGGAUGCUAACGUCCGUUGUGGAAAGGGAAACAACCCUAACCUCCAGCUAAGGCCCCUAAUUCAUGGCUAAGUGGGAAAGCAGGUGAUACGACCAAAACAACCAGGAUGUUGGCUUAGAAGCAGCCAUCAUUUAAAGAAAGCGUAACAGCUCACUGGUCUAGAUAAGUUGUGUUGCGGCGAAGAUGUAACGGGGCUCAAGCCAUGAGCCGAAGCUGAGGACACUGUAAAGUGUGGUAGCGGAGCGUUCCGUGAUAUAAAAUUCAAUCGACUUUCAGUGCACUAUCAAGUGCGUUGAUGUCGAAUGAGUUUUUCUGUGAAGCCGGGCUGUAAGGCAUCCGGUGGAGAGAUCGGAAGUGAGAAUGUUGACAUGAGUAGCGAUAAACAGGGUGAGAGACCCUGUCGCCGGAAGUCCAAGGGUUCCUGCUUAAAGCUAAUCUGAGCAGGGUAAGCCGACCCCUAAGGCGAGGCCGAAAGGCGUAGUCGAUGGGAACCAGGUUAAUAUUCCUGGGCCAGGAGAGUGUGACGGAUCACGAGUGUAGUAAGAUCUUAUUGGAUUGAUCUUGCUGCUUAGUGGUUCCUGGAAAUAGCCCUCCAUUAUGAUCGUACCCUAAACCGACACAGGUGGACAGGUAGAGUAUACCAAGGCGCUUGAGAGAACUGUAUUGAAGGAACUCGGCAAAAUACCUCCGUAAGUUCGCGAGAAGGAGGCCCUAUGUUUAGGCAACUAGAUGUAGGGGACACAACCCAGGGGGUGGCGACUGUUUACUAAAAACACAGGGCUCUGCGAAGCCGCAAGGCGAUGUAUAGGGUCUGACGCCUGCCCGGUGCCGGAAGGUUAAGAGGAGGUGUGCAAGCACCGAAUUGAAGCCCCGGUAAACGGCGGCCGUAACUAUAACGGUCCUAAGGUA